AGGUCCCAAGGGUUGGGCUGUUCGCCCAUUAAAGCGGCACGCGAGCUGGGUUUAGAACGUCGUGAGACAGUUCGGUCCCUAUCCGCCGCGCGCGUAGGAUACUUGAGGAAGGCUGUCCCUAGUACGAGAGGACCGGGACGGACGAACCUCUGGUAUGCCAGUUGUCACGCCAGUGGCAUGGCUGGUUGGCCACGUUCGGAAGGGAUAACCGCUGAAGGCAUCUAAGCGGGAAGCCUGUUCCAAGAUGAGGUAUCCCACCCUUGAUGGGUUAAGGCCCCCAACAGACCAUUGGGUUGAUAGGCCAGAAAUGGAAGCACAGUAAUGUGUUAUCGAGUUGACUGGUACUAAUAGGCCGAGGACUUGCCCACAA
rnacentral:rRNA from 1 species